rnacentral:tRNA from 1 species
UUCUGUUACUCAGUUGGUAGAGCAUAAAACUCUUAAUCUCAGGGUUGUGGGUUCAAGCCCCACGUUGGGCAAAA